rnacentral:rRNA from 1 species
CAGAGGGGGCAAGCGUUAUUCGGAAGUUAUUGGGCGUAAAGGGCGCGUAGGCGGCUUUGCAAGUGACGGGUGAAAGCCCUCGGCUUAACCGAGGAUCUGCCUGUCAGACUGUGAGGCUUGAGACCGGGAGAGGUGAGUGGAAUUCCCAGUGUAGCGGUGAAAUGCGUAGAUAUUGGGAGGAACACCAGUGGCGAAGGCGGCUCACUGGACCGGAACUGACGCUGAGGCGCGAAAGCGUGGGGAGCAAACAGGAUUAGAUACCCUGGUAGUCCACGCCGUAAACGAUGAGUGCUUGGUGUAGCGGGUAUCGACCCCUGCUGUGCCGAAGUCAACACAUUAAGCACUCCGCCUGGGGAGUACGGUCGCAAGACUG